CGAAGAGAGAGCAGUAGGAGUAGCAGUGUUAUCUGUGGUAAUCCAUGUUUCCGUCAGCGCCAGGAAGUCUAGGGACUGGAGGGUAGCAUAGGCUGAGAUGAACUCAGCCUUGUUGGCUGCAGCCCGGCAGUUCCAGAGGCUGCCGGAGACCUGGAACUCCACGUGGGUCGUGCGUGCUGGGACCACCAGGUGUGUAGGCAGGGCAAGGAGGACAUCGAUUCAACCCAGAAGAAGAGGAAAAAGAAGAGGCUAAAUGAGAAGGGAACCCAGGUUGAACUAGGCAUGCGGGAGGAUAUCCAUGACCUUGACCGCGCCCAUUGGAGAUUGGCUAGAGAGACAUGGAGAACUGAGCGAGGAAACAUGAGGGAGAUUAAGGCGCUGUAUGGAGAAAUAUUUAGGCUGCACCAACUCUUGGAGGAGUCCACCUGGCCGUGCUGCUGCUCCAGUUUCAACUGUUCUGCCUGCGGCUAUGGAACCCUGACCUGUUCACCGGACGUGCUUGUUGCACCCUCGACAACUACUAUGAUUAUUAUUAUUUGACCAUGCUGGUCAUUUAUGAACAUUUUAACAUUUUAACAUCUUGACCAUGUUCUGUUAUAAUAUCCACCCUGCACAGCCAGAAGAGGACUGGCCACCCCUCAUAGCCUGGUUCCUCUCUAGGUUUCUUCCUAGGUUUUUGGCCUUUCUAGGGAGUUUUUCCUAGGGAGAUUUUCCUAGCCACCGUGCUUCUUUCACAUGCUUUGUUUGCUGUUUGGGGUUUUAGGCUGGGUUUCUGUACAGCACUUUGAGAAUAUCAGCUGAUGUACGAAGGGCUAUAUAAAAAUAAAUUUGAUUUGAUUUGAUUCUGAGGAAGGUCUGCGUUUUGCACUGGUAGUAUUCUUAAGAAGGCCUGCAUUAUGCACUGGUAGUAUUCUUAAG
rnacentral:lncRNA from 1 species